UUAAGCCUAAUGAUUUUCAAUAGCAUGGUCAUCCCGGAUUUGGCAUCCCAAACUUGAUUAAGAGACAUUAUAAUUGGUAAAAAGAGAUUAUAUUUGGGAUUUGGCUCAAGAACGUGUGUUGAUUUGUCCAAAAGACUAACUUGUUACACAUAUAUGUGUCUUGCAUCUAAAACAUCACUUAUCACGAGAAGUUUGGCACAUAAUUUUUUGUGUGUUUUAUGGCACAGAAUUUGUUUUUAGUGUUUU
rnacentral:lncRNA from 1 species